CACCACAACACUCAAAUCUUUUUCAGUCUCAGCUUCCCAGGAUAGAGUCCCCCGUCCUAAAGUAUCAAAGAGAGCACUGCCGCGGACCUCCGUCUGCAGCCAAGGACGGUUGAGAAGAAACUGAGGGGACAGUCAGGGAGCGCAUGCUACAGGAGGUGCCAAUGGCUGCACAAGACGACUCCUGUGCGUGCCCUUCCCCCGACCAAGUGCUGCUACAAGAAAUCUCCAAUCUCUGGUGCAUGGACGCACCGAAACCUAGAGUGGAGCACCCACAGAGACACCACUCAAAGAAGAACCUUCCUUCUCCCAUUCCCUGGACACUCUUCAAGCCACCCCUCCCAUGCCCCACUGAAUUUUACCAGUGUUUUAAAAGGGGGUGAAAGCG